AUUGAACGCUGGCGGAAUGCUUUACACAUGCAAGUCGAACGGCAGCACGGACUUCGGUCUGGUGGCGAGUGGCGAACGGGUGAGUAAUGUAUCGGAACGUGCCCAGUCGUGGGGGAUAACGUAGUGAAAAUUAUGCUAAUACCGCAUACGAUCUAUGGAUGAAAGCGGGGGAUCGCAAGACCUCGCGCGAUUGGAGCGGCCGAUAUCAGAUUAGGUAGUUGGUGGGGUAAAGGCCCACCAAGCCAACGAUCUGUAGCUGGUCUGAGAGGACAACCAGCCACACUGAAACUGAGACACGGUCCAGACUCCUACGGGAGGCAGCAGUGGGGAAUUUUGGACAAUGGGCGAAAGCCUGAUCCAGCCAUUCCGCGUGCAGGAUGAAGGCCCUCGGGUUGUAAACUGCUUUUGUACAGAACGAAAAGGUUUCUACUAAUACUAGGAGCUCAUGACGGUACUGUAAGAAUAAGCACCGGCUAACUACGUGCCAGCCGCCGCAGUAA
rnacentral:rRNA from 1 species